rnacentral:rRNA from 1 species
UGAGGGAUAUUGGUCAAUGGCCGGAAGGCUGAACCAGCCAUGCCGCGUGCAGGAAGACGGCUCUAUGAGUUGUAAACUGCUUUUGUACGAGGGUAAACCUAUCUACGAGUAGAUAGCUGAAAGUAUCGUACGAAUAAGGAUCGGCUAACUCCGUGCCAGCAGCCGCGGUAAUACGGAGGAUCCAAGCGUUAUCCGGAUUUAUUGGGUUUAAAGGGUGCGUAGGCGGUCAGGUAAGUUAGAGGUGAAAGCCCGUUGCUCAACAACGGAACUGCCUCUGAUACUGUCUGGCUGGAGAGUGGUUGCUGUUGGCGGAAUGUGUGGUGUAGCGGUGAAAUGCUUAGAUAUCACACAGAACACCGAUUGCGAAGGCAGCUGACAAAGCCACAUCUGACGCUGAGGCACGAAAGCGUGGGUAGCAAACAGGAUUAGAUACCCUGGUAGUCCACGCUGUAAACGAUGAUAGCUCGUUGCCGGCGAUAGACAGUCGGUGACUUAGCGAAAGCGAUAAGCUAUCCACCU